CCUAUCUCGUAUUGAGCAAUUCUAUAGCCCUAUAGAAUAUUUUAUGUUAAAACUAGUAACAAGAAGGAAACCUUCUCUUUAAUGCAAGUGUAAAUCAGAUAGGAUAAACCACUGAUAAUUAACACCCAUGAGCUGAGAGUAUUAACCUACCAAGAAAACUAUACUUUCCUAUGUGUUAACCUAACACAAGAGCACUUCAAGAAAGAUUAAAAGAAAAAGAAGGAACUCGGCAAAUUUUAACCUCGCCUGUUUACCAAAAACAUCGCCUCUUGAUUAACAAUAAGAGGUCCAGCCUGCCCAGUGACUCAGUUCAACGGCCGCGGUAUCCUAACCGUGCGAAGGUAGCGUAAUCACUUGUUCUUUAAAUGAGGACUAGUAUGAAUGGCAUCACGAGGGUUAUACUGUCUCCUCUUUCUAAUCAGUGAAACUAAUCUUCCCGUGAAGAAGCGGGGAUUAAACUAUAAGACGAGAAGACCCUAUGGAGCUUUAAACAAAUGUAACAAUCGCUAUUCAAUUUUCCAAUUUCUGAAAACUAACUUAUUUUAGCCUUAUGAUUACUAGUUUUAGGUUGGGGUGACCGCGGAGAAUAAUUUAACCUCCACAUUGAAUGAAUACUUUUCUAAGCUGAAAGCCACGACUUUAUGCAUCAAUAAAUUGACAUCCAUUGAUCCAAUACUUUUUGAUCAACGAACCAAGUUACCCUAGGGAUAACAGCGCAAUCCACUUCAAGAGCUCCUAUCGACAAGUGGGUUUACGACCUCGAUGUUGGAUCAGGGUAUCCCAGUGGUGCAGCCGCUACUAAAGGUUCGUUUGUUCAACGAUU
rnacentral:rRNA from 1 species